rnacentral:misc_RNA from 1 species
AAGUCGUAACAAGGUCUCCGUUGGUGAACCAGCGGAGGGAUCAUUACCGAGUUUACAACUCCCAAACCCCUGUGAACAUACCAUAACGUUGCCUCGGCGGAUCACCGCGCCCCGUAACACGGGACGGCCCGCCAGAGGACCCCCAAACCCACUGUUUUAUAGAGUAUCUUCUGAGUAACACAAACAAAUAAAUUAAAACUUUCAACAACGGAUCUCUUGGCUCUG